AGCACCCUUUCUUCUAUUCUUUACAGCUUGUUUCAUGAAUGAAGACACAGUGGAAUUGGUGUCUUACUUGAUGACCUCGCCUUUAAGCAGUGGGAUGAUGUGGGCUGCUCAAAGCAAAUUUACACAGCACUCUUUCAGUCUUGAAAUGCAGUGACAGCAACUGCAGAAGAAUGUGGAGCUACAGCGUGUGCGUUGCUGAGUGAUCCUC
rnacentral:lncRNA from 1 species